rnacentral:rRNA from 1 species
GGUUAAGCGAAUAAGCGUACACGGUGGAUGCCUAGGCAAUCAGAGGCGAUGAAGGACGUGCUAAUCUGCGAUAAGCGUCGGUAAGGUGAUAUGAACCGUUAUACCCGACGAUUUCCGAAUGGGGAAACCCAAUAUCCAAUGGAUAUUAUCAUGACGUGAAUACAUAGCGUCAUGAAGCGAACCGGGAGAACUGAAACAUCUCAGUACCCCGAGGAAAAGAAAUCAACCGAGAUUCCCCUAGUAGCGGCGAGCGAACGGGGAACAGCCCAGAGUCUUAAUCAACAGCAGCAUCAGGAGAACGGUCUGGAAAGUCCGGCAGUAAAGGGUGAUAGCCCCGUAUCUGAAGAUGCUGUUAUUGUGAACUCGACGAGUAGGGCGGGACACGUGUUAUCCUGUCUGAAUAUGGGGGGACCAUCCUCCAAGGCUAAAUACUCCUGAUUGACCGAUAGUGAACCAGUACCGUGAGGGAAAGGCGAAAAGAACCCCGGCGAGGGGAGUGAAAAAGAACCUGAAACCGUGUACGUACAAGCAGUAGGAGCCUCUUUAUGGGGUGACUGCGUACCUUUUGUAUAAUGGGUCAGCGACUUAUAUUCUGUAGCAAGGUUAACCGUAUAGGGGAGCCGUAGGGAAACCGAGUCUUAACUGGGCGAAUGAGUUGCAGGGUAUAGACCCGAAACCCGGUGAUCUAUCCAUGGGCAGGUUGAAGGUUGGGUAACACUAACUGGAGGACCGAACCGACUAAUGUUGAAAAAUUAGCGGAUGACUUGUGGAUGGGGGUGAAAGGCCAAUCAAACCGGGAGAUAGCUGGUUCUCCCCGAAAGCUAUUUAGGUAGCGCCUCGUGAACUCAUCUUCGGGGGUAGAGCACUGUUUCGACUAGGGGGUCAUCCCGACUUACCAACUCGAUGCAAACUGCGAAUACCGAAGAAUGUUAUCACGGGAGACACACGGCGGGUGCUAACGUCCGUCGUGAAGAGGGAAACAACCCAGACCGCCAGCUAAGGUCCCAAAGUCAUGGUUAAGUGGGAAACGAAGUGGGAAGGCUCAGACAGCCAGGAUGUUGGCUUAGAAGCAGCCAUCAUUUAAAGAAAGCGUAAUAGCUCACUGGUCGAGUCGGCCCGCGCGGAAGAUGUAACGGGGCUAAACCAUGCACCGAAGCUGCGGCAGCGACACUAUGUGUUGUUGGGUAGGGGAGCGUUCUGUAAGCCUGCGAAGGUGUACUGUGAGGUAUGCUGGAGGUAUCAGAAGUGCGAAUGCUGACAUAAGUAACGAUAAUGCGGGUGAAAAACCCGCACGCCGGAAGACCAAGGGUUCCUGUCCAACGUUAAUCGGGGCAGGGUGAGUCGACCCCUAAGGCGAGGCUGAAAAGCGUAGUCGAUGGGAAACGGGUUAAUAUUCCCGUACUGGUGGUAACUGCGAUGGGGGAACGGAGAAGGCUAGGUUGUCCGGGCGACGGUCGUCCCGGUUCAAGCAUGUAGGCAGAGUGAUUAGGCAAAUCCGGUCACUUAAUGCUGAGGUGUGAUGACGAACCACUAAGGUGGUGAAGCAAUUGAUGCCCUGCUUCCAGGAAAAGCCUCUAAGCUUCAGGUUACCAACAAUCGUACCCCAAACCGACACAGGUGGUCAGGUAGAGAAUACUCAGGCGCUUGAGAGAACUCGGGUGAAGGAACUAGGCAAAAUGGUGCCGUAACUUCGGGAGAAGGCACGCUGGCGGUAAGUGAAGUCCCUUGCGGACGGAGCCGAAGCCAGUCGAAGAUACCAGCUGGCUGCAACUGUUUAUUAAAAACACAGCACUGUGCAAACACGAAAGUGGACGUAUACGGUGUGACGCCUGCCCGGUGCUGGAAGGUUAAUUGAUGGGGUUAUCCGUAAGGAGAAGCUCUUGAUCGAAGCCCCAGUAAACGGCGGCCGUAACUAUAACGGUCCUAAGGUAGCGAAAUUCCUUGUCGGGUAAGUUCCGACCUGCACGAAUGGCGUAAUGAUGGCCAGGCUGUCUCCACCCGAGACUCAGUGAAAUUGAACUCGCUGUGAAGAUGCAGUGUACCCGCGGCAAGACGGAAAGACCCCGUGAACCUUUACUAUAGCUUGACACUGAACAUUGAGCCUUGAUGUGUAGGAUAGGUGGGAGACUAUGAAAUGUGGACGCCAGUCUGCAUGGAGUCAACCUUGAAAUACCACCCUUUAACGUUUGAUGUUCUAACCUAGGUCCAUAAUCUGGAUCGGGGACCGUGUCUGGUGGGUAGUUUGACUGGGGCGGUCUCCUCCUAAAGAGUAACGGAGGAGCACGAAGGUUGGCUAAGCAUGGUCGGACAUCAUGCGGUUAGUGCAAAGGCAUAAGCCAGCUUGACUGUGAGAGUGACGGCUCGAGCAGGUACGAAAGUAGGUCUUAGUGAUCCGGUGGUUCUGAAUGGAAGGGCCAUCGCUCAACGGAUAAAAGGUACUCCGGGGAUAACAGGCUGAUACCGCCCAAGAGUUCAUAUCGACGGCGGUGUUUGGCACCUCGAUGUCGGCUCAUCACAUCCUGGGGCUGAAGUAGGUCCCAAGGGUAUGGCUGUUCGCCAUUUAAAGUGGUACGCGAGCUGGGUUUAGAACGUCGUGAGACAGUUCGGUCCCUAUCUCGCCGUGGGCGUUGGAAGAUUGAGAGGGGUUGCUCCUAGUACGAGAGGACCGGAGUGAACGCACCACUGGUGUUCGGGUUGUCAUGCCAAUGGCAUUGCCCGGUAGCUAAGUGCGGAAGAGAUAACCGCUGAAAGCAUCUAAGCGGGAAACUUGCCUCGAGAUGAGUCUUCCCUGUCACCUUGAGUGACCUAAAGGAACGUUUAAGACUAAGACGUUGAUAGGCUGGGUGUGUAAGCGUAGCGAUACGUUGAGCUAACCAGUACUAAUGAACCGUGAGGCUUAACCUG